AGAUUGAACGCUGGCGGCAGGCCUAACACAUGCAAGUCGAGCGGUAGAGAGGUGCUUGCAUCUCUUGAGAGCGGCGGACGGGUGAGUAAUGCCUAGGAAUCUGCCUAGUGGUGGGGGAUAACGUUCGGAAACGGACGCUAAUACCGCAUACGUCCUACGGGAGAAAGCGGGGGACCUUCGGGCCUCGCGCCAUUAGAUGAGCCUAGGUCGGAUUAGCUAGUUGGUGAGGUAAUGGCUCACCAAGGCGACGAUCCGUAACUGGUCUGAGAGGAUGAUCAGUCACACUGGAACUGAGACACGGUCAGAC
rnacentral:rRNA from 1 species